UACCAAGGCUUGACAUCGCCGGAAAACUCGCAGAGAUGCGGGGUCCUUUUGGGCCGGUGACAGGUGGUGCAUGGCUGUCGUCAGCUCGUGUCGUGAGAUGUUGGGUUAAGUCCCGCAACGAGCGCAACCCUCGUUCCAUGUUGCCAGCACGUGAUGGUGGGGACUCAUGGGAGACCGCCGGGGUCAACUCGGAGGAAGGUGGGGAUGACGUCAAGUCAUCAUGCCCCUUAUGUCUUGGGCUGCAAACAUGCUACAAUGGCCGGUACAGAGGGCUGCGAUACCGUGAGGUGGAGCGAAUCCCUUAAAGCCGGUCUCAGUUCGGAUCGAAGUCUGCAACUCGACUUCGUGAAGUCGGAGUCGC
rnacentral:rRNA from 1 species